GUAUUUCAGUUUUUAUUUUAAGGUUUCACUUCAUUUUGACCUAUAUGGGUAAAGGAAAAAAUGGAGCUGGAAAUCAAACAGGGUUUUUGCUAGCUUCUUGAAACUUCACACACUCAAUCAGUUCUCUGUGAGGACACUCUGGUUUUAUCCUUGUGAAAGUAUCCCAAAGAUGUAGCAUGCAAAAACAACUCUAUGCAAGAUCAUUUUAGGAGACAACAGGAAAAUAUGCAUGUACUGAACUACCUCCCCCAACCAUUUGGUCAGAUUUCUUUGAUACUGGGCAGGAUUCAUCUGUUAGCUUUCCCCACUAGGCUCCUCAACUUUGAGACUUCUAUGAUCAAAGGUUCUCUAAACAGGUUAGGUUUAGACUUAUGGUUAGAGUUAGGUCUAGUGUUAGGGUUAGAGUUUGUCUUGUUCAAAUUUCUUUCAUACUGGGCAGGAUACAUUUUUACCUAGCUUUACUAUGUUCCCCAGGUUUCGGCCUUCUCGGUUCAAUUCUUUGGUGACAGGAAGAAUUUGUAUUUUAUGAAUUCAUUUCAUUUUGACCUACAUGGGUAAAUGUACAUGGAGCUGGAAAUCAAACAAAGUUGGUGCUAAC
rnacentral:lncRNA from 1 species